rnacentral:lncRNA from 1 species
UUGAAUCCUUGCUUGAUUCAUGCUAAAAACACCUAGUUCGUUAUUUGCAAAAGCCGAACCAAGGUUGAAGAUGAACUGGACCUGCACGCACUUUUUCAUAUAAAGUAGUCGUUGGCGCCCUAAUUUAAACAUUUUUUAUUUUCUUUUAUUUUUAUUUUUAUUUUUUUCCUUUUUACUUUCUGAUUUAAUUUUUAGUGAUUUUUAAUUCAUUUUGACCCAAAUUUUUUACAAAAAAUUCAUAAAAAUAUUUUG